AUCAACUCUGCCUUCCAUGAAAUAGGCUUUCUCCAAUAAGCGCCAGAGAAAAGGGAUCCCUUCCCUUAUCAUCACUUGUUUCUGUAGCAAUUCGAUAGCCUUUGAUGUAUGUCCAGUGCACAACAGCACAUCAUACCAAAAUUCAUUGAAAACAUCAAGUUGCUCCCCAGAGGCUCCAAUCAUUCUAUAGUUUAUGGCAUCAAAAUCAGGACCAAGU
rnacentral:misc_RNA from 1 species